GACGAACGCUGGCGGCGUGCUUAACACAUGCAAGUCGAACGAAGUGGCGAACGGGUGAGUAACGCGUAAUCAACCUGCCCUUCAGAGGGGGACAACAGUAGGAAACGACUGCUAAUACCGCAUACUGAAGGUGGGGAUUGCGUCUGAUUAGCUAGUUGGAGGGGUAACGGCCCACCAAGGCGAUGAUCAGUAGCGGGUCUGAGAGGAUGAUCAGCCACACUGGUACUGAGACACGGCCCAGACGCCUACGGGAGGCAGCAGUGGGGAAUUUUGGACAAGGGGCGAAAGCCUGAUGCAGCCAUGCCGCGUGUCUGAAGAAGGCCAUCGGGUUGUAAAGGACUUUUGUCAGGGAAGCGGGACCUGAAGAAUAAGCACCGGCUAACUACGUGCCAGCAGCCGCGGUAAUUC
rnacentral:rRNA from 1 species